rnacentral:rRNA from 1 species
AUGGUUGAGGGCUCCGCGUCCGAUAUUGCCAACCUGAAGUUCCUCCUCCUCUGCUUCCAACAGAUAUCCGGUCUGACCAUCAACUUCGAUAAGAGUGAAGUGAUGGUGCUGGGAUACCCACCGGUGGAGGCCCAGGGCAUUGCGGACCGGCUUAAUUGCCGCCUGUGUUCUUUCCCCACGACCUAUCUGGAGAUCCCCAUUAGUGACUCGCGCCUCACCGUAGCGGACCUCCGCCCUUCCGUGACCCGGAUGCAACACCGGGUCGAGCCCUGGAAGGGCCGGUGGCUCUCGAAGGCGGCUCGGGUAAUCCUCAGCAACUCCUCGCUGGCUAGCCUCCUCUGGUUCCUCAUGAGCUUCUAUAGACUCCAUGAGACGCUUCACCAGGAGGUGGCCAAAUAUCAGUCCAGAUUUUUCUGGGCUGGCGAGGGGGACAAGCAAAAAUACCAUAUGGUGAGCUGGCCGGACAUUUGCAAACCCAAGGACCAGGGAGGUCUGGGGAUCUUGUCCUCCCGUCGCAUGAACAUUGCUCUCCUGACCCGAUGGCUAUGGCGUAUCGCCAACGGGGAGGGCGGCCUCUGGCUU